GAAUAGCGUGUAAGAAUUGGUGCCAAACGAAUAGUUUGGCUUAAAAGGGAAGUACGGUGAAAGUCCGUCGCUGUCCCGCAACUGUAAAUCGGAGUAUAUCGCAAAAAACCACUGCCACUUGAGCGGGAAGGUGCGAUUAAAGUGCGUUGAUGAUGAGCCAGGAGACCUGCCAAUUCCAGUACACACCAA
rnacentral:ncRNA from 20 species